CAAAUCCAACGUCUCACCGAGACACCGUUGAAACAACCGUUGUGCGAGUGGUCGAGGGAGGCGGAAGGGAGGAGGGAAGGGGGUGGUCGCGCGAGGUGGUGGGCGGGUGCGCAAGCGCUCGUUCCAACACCGCCGCGUCGGCCACCACCACCGCCACCGCCACCUUCUUCUUCCACUAGCUCUACAAACUAGAAACCGUUGAUCAUUAGUACAUGCUCGUAACAAAGCAA
rnacentral:misc_RNA from 1 species